rnacentral:rRNA from 1 species
UAAUACGUAGGGGGCAAGCGUUGUCCGGAUUUAUUGGGCGUAAAGCGCGCGUAGGCGGCGCGGUAUGUCGUGCGUGAAAUCUCCCGGCUUAACUGGGAGGGGCCGUGCGAAACUGCCGGGCUUGAGGUCGGAAGGGGAAAGUGGAAUUCCGGGUGUAGUGGUGGAAUACGUAGAUAUCCGGAGGAACACCAGCGGCGAAGGCGGCUUUCUGGUCCGAUACUGACGCUGAGGUGCGAAAGCGUGGGGAGCGAUCCGGAUUAGAUACCCGGGUAGUCCACGCCGUAAACGAUGAGUACUAGGUGUCGGGGGUAUCGACCCCCUCGGUGCCGUCGCUAACGCAUUAAGUACUCCGCCUGGGGACUACGGCCGCAAGGCUA